rnacentral:lncRNA from 1 species
ACACAGGGGGCAUGCCAUGUGAAAAUGAAGGCAGACAUCUACAGGACAAGGAGCACCAAAGAUUGCCAACAAACCAUCAGAAACUAGGGGAAUGGAAUGGAACAGAUUCUCCUUCCGAGCCCUCAGAAGGAACCAACCCUCCUGACACCUUGAUCUCAGACUUCUAUCCUCCAGAACUUCAUAUCUACAGGUUCCCUCCUAAGGAUGAUCCUUCCUGGUGGCUUCUGUUUACAACAAUGCCACGCCAAGCAGUUAACACUACUUCGUAAAGGAAGACUCCACUCCUUGACCUUCGCAUUCUUGACCCAUAAUGCAAUGUGCUUCCACAAUCUCUAUCAUUUCCAGACAUCACCCUUCCUGGGAAAUGCUGACAAGUACGGACUGUGCUAAAGGGUGGAGGCUGUCUUUCACCUCCUGCCACCAACAGCUUAUUUGAGGAGAGUUUAAGAAAGAAGAUUUUACCAGAAAAGUUCCAAUUUCAUGUGCCUCUUUAUAUGCUUUUUCUGCUUCUUAUGUAGUCUCCAAAUUUGAAUGACAGUCUUCCUAACUAGUAACCUUGGAGGAAUAUAGGAGACCAAGUGAGGAAGCUAUCAAAUAAUUUCUUAACAUCAACAUUAUUGAAACAUAGUAACUCAUUGUUUUACAUUGGAGGCUAAAUAGAAUGAUAUGUUUUAAAAUGGCUAUCUCCAUGGGCUUAUUUUUUUUUUCUCAUCUGAUAAGUGGAUUCAAUGAUUUCCAAGAUUUUGUUUUCAACUCUGUGAUUCUAUGGUCUCUGGAUACUGUAGUUCCAACCUUCAAGAGAAGAGCACAUCUAAUUAAAGUUCGAGACAGCGCCAAAAGAUUAGCAGCUACGGUCACAUUUAAUGAGCAAGUCGAGUGAAGGCAUUUUUCCCAUUGUCUAGGAGUCACCUCAAUAGGAUGGAAGAUGCACGUUCUAUACAGUCUUAUGACCAGCCUGUUCCUCAGCAUAUUUUUCCUUUAAGUACCAAACAGGUAUAUGAAUUUAGAAUAUAAAAAGAGGGUUGUGAUAAGUUGAUAUUUUCUUCUCCAAAGUUUAAAUAUUUGAAUAGUUCACCAGCUGUAGCUUUAAAUAGUGGGAAAUAAUGCAGCUAGAAGAACCAUACAGGGAAAAAGAGUGAGUUGAAAAUUCUCAGCUCAGUGGUUAUCAUCAAGUUUGGUUCCUGUCAGCCUCCAGCGACUGUAGGUGGUGCUUAUAGGUAUUCAUCAAUAAAAGGUGCAUUUGAGGGGAUUUCCAGCAUUUUGCUUCGGAGGAAAUCAUUUAUGUCAAAAGAUUAAAACUGCUGUUUUCAAUUGCUUAAUUGAGUAUAUAUUGAGGUUAAGGUUAGUGAAAGUGGUAAAGCAGAAUGAAUACAUUGCUUAUUACAGUCAAGAAAUGUUAUACAGAAAUGAGAAAAUGUACAAACCCCACCAGCCAUAAAUAAGGAAGUGGUUAGAAUGUCGCUCUCAGCCAAGGGCCCUAAGUCCCUUUGUGUAGGUUUGGAAAAAUUUAUGCCUGUCUAGCAGCUUGUAGCUGUGGAGCAGAGUUGGCUGACCAAACUUUGAUUCCUUCUCUGACCAUGUUCUGCUAGCCUUAUGUCCUUCAGUAAAUGACAGUUGCCAUAAAAAACAAUGAGGUUGUUGUAUACUCCAUCAUUCCCACUACUUUGAGAUCUUAACAAGAUCACAUAACCAUCUGAACUUGAAGACACAGACUGAAUUCAAAUAAUUCAGGCUAAGACAUGUGCUGAUAACCUAAGAAAAAUUAUUGCUAGACUCCUAAAAUAAAUACUAUGAGAAAGAGGCCACUUUCACACAUAUUUUUAGCUUGAAAAUGUGUAUCUGCAUCAAUUGUUAAAAAAAACCUUUUUUUUGGAUAAAUGGGAAAGUAUAAUAAAUUCAAUUUUAUUUUUAGGACAUGAAUGGAUGAUAAUUUGUGGGCACAAAAAAGAAUAAUUUGCUAAGCUUUAGUAGCAGUGUAAUACAUUAAAAUGCCUGUAUCUCUUGCUCUAAAUGAAUCAAUUUUAAAUAUAUAUGAAUUGAAUGUAUCAAUUGAGAUCUUAAAAUGAGCAAUGAAUGUGGUAAUACCAGGUACAGAUAAUUUAUGUGUUCUAAUAUUAUUUAGAAAAGCAUGCCAUAAGCUGUUCUUAGCUAAAACCACCAUAAUUGAGAAAGAAAUACUUGAGAAGAGAUUAGAUAUUCUCUACUAGUUGAAUGGAGCAGUGAAAAGUAGAUUUUGGUGUCGUGGUUUUAUGAAAAAGAAACAUCAGAAAAUAAAGUUCUAAAUCAUUUCCAUUAAACAAAAACAAAAAACAGAGUUUUUGGUAUGGCUUGGCUGUGUCCCCACCCCACAAUCUCAUCUUAAAUUGUAAUCCCCAUAACCUCCAUAAUCCCCACGUGUCAAGGGAGAGACCAGGUGGAGGUAAUGGAAUCAUAAGGGCAGUUUCUCCCAUGCUGUUCUCAUGAUAGCGGGAUCUGAUGGUUUUAUAAGGGGCUCUUCCUACUUCGCUGGGCGCUUCUCCUUCCUGCGGCCUUGUGAAGAAGAUGCUUGCUUCCCCUUCACCUUCUGCCAUGAUUGUAAGUUUCCUGAGGCCUACCCAGCCAUGUGGAACUGUGAGUCAAUUAAACCUCUUUCCUUUAGAAAUUACCCAGUCUCGGGCAGUUCUUUAUAGCAGUAUGAAAAUGGACUAAUACAGUAGCUUUGUUUAAGCAACAUAAGUACUGAAAU